UAGGGAAUCUUCCACAAUGGACGAAAGUCUGAUGGAGCAACGCCGCGUGAGUGAAGAAGGGUUUCGGCUCGUAAACUCUGUUGUUAAAGAAGAACAUAUCUGAGAGUAACUGUUCAGGUAUUGACGGUAUUUAACCAGAAAGCCACGGCUAACUACGUGCC
rnacentral:rRNA from 1 species